UCCACCGCUAAGAGUCGUACGAGUUUUUUACACGAGGGUGGACGGCGGGGCGGGGCGGCGCGCCGGCGUGGGAGAGGGACGAUCGCGUCCCCCCCCACCCGCACGCGCGCGCGCGCCCACGCCCCUCCCGCCCGGCUGACGCGGCACACAGCCCCCUCUCCCGUCCCCGCGGGCGGUCGGAGAGAGGGGGAUCGCCUCGGUCCGGCCAGCACAGGUGACGACGAGACGAGAACGCCUUUUGGGGUCGGGAAGAGAACGAGACGCGGGGGGCCGGCAUCCGUCCGGCGCCACGGCCCGCGAGCGGGCGAGCGCGCGGGCGGCACCGGAACCCCCACAGGCGCCCGGGGGGUUCCCACCACCGCCCCCACGGCGACCCAGAGCGGAACGGAGAGGCGGACAGCGCGAAGCGACGCGCGCACGCGCGGCACCACGGCGGACGGUCCCCGAGGGUCUCCCAAGACCCCGGCGGGGCCGCCGCGGGCGCGCGGCGCGGGCGCCACGGCCCACCCCCGCCGCCCGACCUGGCCCGUCGUGGGGGUUUGGGUGGCGGAGUCCGGAGGAGACCGGGAAGAGCGCGUGUGUGUGUGUGGGGAGAGAGCGGACCGGGACGGGGCCCCGGACCGCACGACGCCCCAUCACGCGGCCCCACGACUCCACGCGGGCCCGCCGCCCCGACCCCGCGGGCGGACGGGCGACCCCCGAGGGGUCUUUAAACCUCCGCGCCGGAACGCGCUAGGUACCUGGACAGGAGCGGGCGGACGGGCGAGGCGGGGAGGGACGGCGGGAUCCGGGAGCGAGCCGGCUCCACCGCCCCCCUCGAGCUCCCCCCACCACCGCCUGCACGGCGCGGGACACGCGGGACCGGCCGCGGCGCCGCCGGGCCCCGGCGACGCGGAGCGGACGCACGCCCCCCCCACGGCCGCUCCCACACGCUCCGCCCUCGCGCCUUCCCUCCACGCCCCUCACCUCCUCGCGCACCCCCGGCCCGCGAGACCCGCGGGGAUCCCGGGACCCGCCUCUCCUUCCACGACGCGCGCCGAGCGAGCGGCGCGCGGGUGGGGGAGGAAGGGGCGUGCCGCUCGCGGGAGGCGGUGGAGCGCUCGCGGGGCGACGGGUGACGCGCGGAGAAGAGACCCGGAGGGCGAGGCGGCCGGCGGGCGGGCGGGCGGGAGAACGGCCGGCGAGGGGAGGCGAGACGCCCGCCACCCCCCCCACACACACGGCGUGGUGGGGGCGGCCGGCGCCGCGGGAGACGGCGCGGACGGACGGGGGACCCCGAACGGACCACCCGCGUACGGGCGGGCGGGCCCCCGCAGAACGCGCCGCACCUCCCCGGGCGGCGGCGCCGAGGGCGACCGGCCGCCGCCGGGCGGACGGGCUCGCUCCGCCGGGACGCACCCCGGGACCGGGGCCGCGGGGCGAGGCGCGCGCGAGGGCGGCGCGGAGCGGCGGGGCGGAAGGGGCGCGGCGACCGCCGACCGCGGCCCGACGGGUGAGGGGGGCGCGGGCCGCACCCCGCGUACCGCGGCGGCGGCGGCGGGCGGGGAAGGACGCGGGCCGCGGGGACCGGCCGGCGCCGAUCGCGCCGCAGGGCGCUCGCCGCCGGUCGACGGGGACGACUCGCCACGCGCGGCGGGGAGGGGGGCGGGGGUCGGGGGAGGAGCGGGGCCGAAACCCCGCCCUCCUCCCGGGCGCCCCCUCCCGAACGACCCCGCACGCGCGAGGCGGGCACGACGCCACGCCGGCCGGCGACGACGACGACUCCCGCGACGGACGGGCCGGAGGACCCGGGUCCGCGCCGACCCCGCCCCCCACGCGCGCGCGGCGGGACGGGGAGGGCCUCGCCACACUCGACUCACCGACGGGCCGGGGGCGGGACGGGGCGCCCCGACUUCCCGCGGGCACCUAACGCCGCCGCCGGCGGGGCGGCGGGGCGGAGGACCCGGGCCGCCGCCGCGGUCCCCACCACGGCGGGCGACACGCGACGAGCGGGAAAGCGAGCCCCCGGGAUCGGAGAAGCCGGGCGGAGGGAGAAAACUCGAGACGGGCGGCACGCGAACGUGGCGGACGGCCAACCCCCGGCGCGGGGAGGCGGCGUCACAAGGGCCGCGGGGACGCGGCACCGGUCACCCGCGAGGUCGCCGGGGAAACGACCGCCUCGGGGAGCCCGGCCUUCCGCCCGGUCCGGGACCCACGCACGGGAAUCUCACCGCCAGCGCCCCCGCGGCGCAUCGGCGGUCCCGCGCGCGAGCCCCCACCCGGGACGGACCGACCCGGACCCGCCGUCGGCGACGGACCCACGGCGACGCCUCGUCGAGGCCGAGCCCGCGUCCUCGCCGAGCCGGUCGCGGCUCCACCCCCGCACACGUCACCGACCGUCUCACGGCGACCGGUCGCCCGGGCGCACGGCGAGGAUCGGCGACGGCGAGGGCGGACGGGAGCCCCACCCCGGACGGGGAAGCGGACGGGGAGAGACCCGCGGAGCGCACGGCCCGGGGCCGCCGGGGAAACCAGGCGGGAUCCCACCGCCCCCCCACGGGGGCGGUCCCGCCAUCGCCCGCGACGCCCGGAAGCCGGAGCCCGGCGGAGUCCGAAGAGCACCCCCCACGGGAGGAGUCACCUCCUCCCGCGAGGAGAGAACGCCCGCGUCCACCAGCCCCGUCGACGGGGACUCCCACGCGCGACUCCGCCGACGUCCGCACGCCGGGGAGGACGACCGCCUCGGCGGCCUCGCUCGAGAGAACCCCACACGCGUACGGCCCCCUUCCUCCGGGGGACGGGCACCCACCGUCGCGGCGCCCGGCGCGAGGGGCGCGACGGGCCACCCGGGCCCACGCCGGCGCCGGCACACCGCCGUCGGCGCCAACGGCCGGCGACACGGGACGGGAGCGGGCGGAGAGCCCCUCGCGGCGGCGGCGGCGGCAGCAGCGGCGGCGGCGACGGCGACGGGAGGGUGAGGGGAGGGGCGGGACCGACCGGGACGUCCGCCACACCACCGACCCCCAACACACCCCCCCACCGGACACACCACGCGCCAGCGGAGCGAGACCUCGGCGCACGCUCGCGGGCAGGCCCCCGAGAGAGCCGGACACCGGCCGGGACCCCCCGCGGGACCCUCCCCCAGCUCGGAGGGGGGAGGCGCGGGCACGCAUCGGAUCGGGACAGACGCGUCGGACGGCUGACUUUCGCGCAGCGAGAACGUAGGCGGGCGGGCAGACGCGGGGGGGAGGCGGGCACCUCCCCACCUCUUCGCAAAGCACGCCCCGCUCGGAUCGCUAGAGAAGAAACUUUGCUCACUGAGGGUGGACCGAACCCGGCCCACCGGCCCCCGUCGGUCCGCAGAGGCGGGAUCCGUCCGCGGGAGUGGCCAGGCGAGGGGGGGUCUGCGGUAUAGGUAAGCACGGGGCACACGUCGAGCACUCGCGGUCAGAGGCCGGGGCGACCUCACGUUAUCUUCCGCUCAGUCCGCCGGGUGGCACGGCAGAACGGCCCACGGCCCGCCACGAUCGCUCGACACGCCCGCGCGCGGCCAACCGGGAGAGGCGGCGCGCGGGCGUGCGCCCGCCCCAAGGACCGAGUCGCACCCGCGACACGGCCGUCAAGAAGCGGCAGGCGGCCUUCGCCGCCGCCGCCCUCUCUCUCACCGCCUCGACCCCCCUUUUCUCUGGCCGAUGGCCUCGAGAAGCCCGCCAACGCGGACGGGGCAGCCCCGCCACAGCGGCGACCGGAGCAGAGACACCGGGGACACGGGAACGGCACCACCGCUCAGCCUCGGGCACCUCGAGUCGACCCGGAGCGCUCCAGGAGCACCGCGAAGGGCCGACGACGCACGGAACGCGGCUCGCGCGCCCGAGGAGGACGCGCGGCACGGCGGGGGAAACGCGGGCCCCUGCCCCACCGCGGGGAGGGGCCGACCCACCGCCAAGGCACCAGGGCGCGGGAGGGGUGAUCCCCUCUCCCGCACGUCUGGGUCCCCGACCACGAGGAGAGGGCGGGGAAGGCGAAGGUCAGGCCGGAUACCGCACCCCUGCCUUCCGCACACCACCGGCAGGUGGGGCGGAGAAGCGAGGGGCCCGCUGGCAGCACGAGAAGAGCGGUCCCAUUCGCAGUGAAUGUCCGUCCCUCGCCUGGCGCGGCUUAGGCCCGGCCCGGGGAGAGCACCACGUCACCACAUCGAUCGCGAGAAGGGAGGCGAAAACGGCCA
ensembl:lncRNA